CCUACGGGUGGCAGCAGUGAGGAAUAUUGGUCAAUGGGCGGUAGCCUGAACCAGCCAAGCAGCGUGAAGGAUGACGGCCCUAUGGGUUGUAAACUUCUUUUAUACGGGAAUAAAGUUUAUUACGUAUACUGCUUUGCAUGUACCUUACGAAUAAGGAUCGGCUAACUCCGUGCCAGCAGCCGCGGUAAUACGGAGGAUUCGAGCGUUAUCCGGAUUUAUUGGGUUUAAAGGGAGCGUAGGCUGGCUGAUAAGUUAGUGGUGAAAGUUCGCGGCUUAACCCCAGGCGUGCAGUUGAUACUGGCAGACUAGAGUGCGGUAGAAGUAGGCGGAAUUCGUGGUGUAGCGGUGAAAUGCUUAGAUAUCACGCAGAACUCCGAUUGCGCAGGCAGCCUGCUGAUCUGUAUCUGACGCUGAUGCACGAAAGUGUGGGUAGCGAACAGGAUUAGAUACCCUAGUAGUC
rnacentral:rRNA from 1 species